GAUGAACGCUAGCGGCAGGCUUAAUACAUGCAAGUCGUGGGGCAGCAGGUUUGUAGCAAUACAGAUGCUGGCGACCGGCAAACGGGUGCGGAACACGUACAGAACCUUCCUUUGAGCGGGGAAUAGCCCAGAGAAAUUUGGAUUAAUACUCCAUAGUAUAAUGAAGUGGCAUCACUUUAUUAUUAAGAUUUAUCACUCGAAGAUGGCUGUGCGGCUGAUUAGGUAGUUGGCGGGGUAAAGGCCCACCAAGCCUGCGAUCAGUAACUGGUGUGAGAGCACGACCAGUCACACGGGCACUGAGACACGGGCCCGACUCCUACGGGAGGCAGCAGUAAGGAAUAUUGGUCAAUGGAGGCAACUCUGAACCAGCCAUGCCGCGUGGAGGAUGAAGGUCCUCUGGAUUGUAAACUUCUUUUAUAUGGGGCGAAAAAAAGGGCUUUUUCUAAGUCGUCUGACGGUACCAUAUGAAUAAGCACCGGCUAACUCCGUGCCAGCAGCCG
rnacentral:rRNA from 1 species